rnacentral:tRNA from 1 species
GGAGGGAUGUCCGAGAUGGCUGAAGGAGCACGCCUGGAGAGCGUGUAGAUGGGUAACUGUCUCGUGGGUUCAAAUCCCACUCCCUCCGCCA